rnacentral:rRNA from 1 species
CCUACGGGAGGCAGCAGUGGGGAAUAUUGCACAAUGGGGGAAACCCUGAUGCAGCAACGCCGCGUGAAGGAAGACGGUUUUCGGAUUGUAAACUUCUGUUCUCAGUGAAGAAUAAUGACGGUAGCUAAGGACCAAGCCACGGCUAACUACGUGCCAGCAGCCGCGGUAAUACGUAGGUGGCAAGCGUUGUCCGGAAUUACUGGGUGUAAAGGGAGCGCAGGCGGGAAGCCAAGUCAGCUGUGAAAACUACGGGCUUAACUUGGAGACUGCAGUUGAAACUGGUUUUCUGGAGUGAGGUAGAGGAUGGCGGAAUUCCAGGUGUAGGAGUGAAAUGCGUAGAUAUUCGGAGGAACACCAGUGGCGAAGGCGACCAACUGGGCUAUAACUGACGCUGAGGCUCGAAAGUGUGGGGAGCAAACAGGAUUAGAUACCCGAGUAGUC